UACGUAGGUGGCAAGCGUUGUUCGGAAUUAUUGGGCGUAAAGGGCGCGUAGGCGGUUUGUUGCGUCGGCUGUGAAAUCCCGAGGCUCAACCUCGGGUCUGCAGUCGAUACGAGCAAACUAGAGUGUUGCAGGGGAGACUGGAAUUCCUGGUGUAGCGGUGAAAUGCGCAGAUAUCAGGAGGAACACCGGUGGCGACGGCGGGUCUCUGGGCAACAACUGACGCUGAGGAGCGAAAGCGUGGGGAGCGAACAGG
rnacentral:rRNA from 1 species